rnacentral:rRNA from 1 species
UACGGGGGGGGUAAGCGUUGUUCGGAAUUACUGGGCGUAAAGGGCUCGUAGGCGGCCAACUAAGUCAUACGUGAAAUCCCUCAGCUUAACUGGGGAACUGCGUGUGAUACUGGAUGGCUUGGAUUUGGGAGAGGGAUGCGGAAUUCCAGGUGUAGCGGUGAAAUGCGCAGAUAUCAGGAGGAACACCGGUGGCGAAGGCGGUGGUCUGGGCCGGAACUGACGCUGAGGAGCGAAAGCGUGGGGAGCGAACAGG